rnacentral:rRNA from 1 species
GGGCCAUCGCUCAACGGAUAAAAGCUACCCUGGGGAUACCAGGCUUAUCUCCCCCAAGAGUCCACAUCGACGGGGAGGUUUGGCACCUCGAUGUCGGCUCAUCACAUCCUGGGGCUGUAGUAGGUCCAAAGGGUUGGGCUGUUCGCCCAUUAAAGUGGUACGCGAGCUGGGUUCAGAACGUCGUGAGACAGUUCAGUACCUAUCCGUCGCAGGCGUAGUAAAUUUGCGAAGACCUGU